ensembl:lncRNA
UUUUCUGCACCAGUUCAUCCUGUUAUACAACGACAAACCAGCAGCAACAACGGCUCUUCUGAUUGGCUGCCUCUCUCGAGCUGCAGGUGUGAUGAAGUGUUCAGAGCCACCUGAGCUCAUCAUCAGAAACUUUGUGUUUAACGUCAGGAAAUGAGCAAAGCAGAAGAAGAGCAGCAGGACGGACGCUUUGCUCCUCUGCAGCAGUGUGUUUGGAUCAGUGAGCAGAGAGAAAACAUCCACACUGAGCAUGCUCAGCCGCUUCGACGCCACAUGAGUCAGAGCGCGGGUCCACGUUGUUCGCCUGGGUCACGGGGUGACGAUGACAGCCGUGGGUCUACCGCCGAGUCCAGAACCCACCAAGCCCGCACGCGGCUGUCAGGACAAGCAGAGACUGCCCACGCUUUGGGUUACCGUGGAAACAGCUCCAGGACUGCCGGGUCUCGUGGGAACCAAAGGAUUAUGGGUCAGCAUCAUCCUCAGCGCUUCUUCCUCCUCCUCCACCUCCAAACCAAGCAACCACAGAGCCAAGUAGAUGAAACAAGCGCACCUCACCCUGCAGGUCGUUCCUGUGAACGUCCACUCUUAAUAACAGGGCGGCGAUCCCCUGGGGACAAGCUCCUCCCCCGACUUCACCGUAGAAGGAAACGAACCACAUGUCGUGUCCAAAUUCAUGGGCUGCAUCCUCUUGAGGACCCGGCCUUCGCGGUCUACAUGGGCCGGGUCCUCAGAAGAUCGGGUAGGCCGGAAGUACGAGGUUGGGGAAAUUGGACGGUCCAGCCUUCUGAUUAGCGUCACCACUGCCUCGGUGGAGUUUAAUAAACUCGGCCGUCUGCUCCUUGCUAUCUAAAAUAUAACAGGACACUGGAGGAAACUCUCGACCGUCUCACACGUCUGUUUAAUCAGUUUUCUGUUUGACGUUUAUUCAGCUGUGUGAAAACCACCCGGGGGAUUAAUAAAGUUUUAUUUUAUCUAAACUAAUAACUUUGAUCUCAGCCAAACCGAUUUACUCACGAACAAACAAAACACUGAAAAAAGCCCAACAACAACAUUUUAGGUUGUCUAAGUGAAUUAUAUAUCCCGUUUAACCUGAGUAGUGAAACUCCGCGGUGAUCUGAAAAUGAUGUGCCGGAGUUGUGCCGUUCUCGGCCGCAUCGGUGACCCUCGAGCUCCCGGCUAGCUGUCGAGCUGGUGGGUAAAAGAUGUCUCUGAAAACGUCGAAGCACUUUUGCAAAUAUGCGAUAUCUUGAUAAACUGAGCAGAUAUUUGAAGUUUACACAGCUGAAAAUAUGUUCAAAGUUUAUUUUGUGACCCAGAAAGAUUAAUAAGAGUAAUUUUAAAACUUAGUGGCGGCUGCCAUCGUUGGAAACUGGAGUUUGGCUGGGCCGCGCUAUGAAUUCUGGGAUAUCGUGGGCCACGAAAGACACACCCGACCCCAAAUUCGUGGAAAAGGAGGACGCAUUUGUCGGCUGCAUUCAGAGGAGUCUACGAAUUUGGACAGCCUUCAUCGUGUCGCUGUGACGUAAUCGGUCCACAAAUGCGGCCUCAGGAGGACGCAGCCCAUGAAUUUGGACACGUCCACUGAGUGACCCUCCAGAACCAGGAGCAGGGCAUGGCUAAAAGAUGGGCGUGGUCUGAAAAAUGGUUCCUCAAACCAAAGAGUGAACUCGUUCCUGAUUGGUUUAUGGUUUUGUCGCUGUUUACAGGUCUCAGUGAAUAAAAUGUGAAAUUGGUGAAGUGAUGGUGAUGUUAGAGCAGGGCGCCCGGAUGAAGAGCCCCACACGGCCACAGAAGCUCGUCUCACUUCCUGUUUUAGUUCCUGUGAUAUUUGAGGCCACAUGUGCAAACUGUGACGAGGGCUUUAAUCUACACGUUCUGACUGCAUGUGUGACGAUUAUCACACUAAUUCCACACGCGUGAAUCUGCAGGUAAUUUAUAAAUCCAGUGACAGGUGUCUACAGGUAUGCACAGACAGGUAGACAUUUCCCCGUCGCAUCGGGUUGACGCUGAUAUUUCAUCAGGUAUUCGGCCUCCGGUGUGAGCUUUACGUCUCAAUCUGCUUCAACAAUGAAAUCAAAUAAAGUGCAACAGCUGAGCGAGCUUUCACCAGGUGUGCCGCACCUCUGUGUUGUGGAAAUGACAGUCUUCACUAGUGGGGAUAGUUACAAAGCUUUCUUCAUUAUGAAUUAGCAUACAUGUUUUUAUUGAACAUUUGAAGAACCAGCAAAAAAAACCCCAGAAACUCUUGUAGAGGACAAAGUCCGAGAUAGAAACGACACGGAGCAGGUGCAUCUAGUGCAGGUAAAACCCCACAGAGCUCAGCAGCCAGCGCAGCAAAUUCUGGAUCCUUGUCUUUUAGUGACUCACACUGAGGCUACGUCCACACGUACCCGGGUAUUUUUGAAAACGCAGAUUUUUCUAUGCGUUUGCACCUCCCGUCCACACGUAAACGGCGUUUUCGGUGACUGAAAACGGAGAUUUCUAAAAACUCCGGCCAGGGUGGAUAUUUAGAAACUCAGUUUUUGUAUUUACGUGUGGACGAGAAAACACAGCGUCAAAGAUGUGCGCCUUUUUUGAGGUCACACUGUGCGCCACGUUAUUGUUUAGGUGAAAUGAAUUUCUACAAUACUGUUAAUUCUACUCUCUGCAGUGUUUAAAUGCUUACAUAUACACACAGUUACUGUCCCUCCACACAUACGACUCGGUUCUGCUUCUAUGCCCCAGCUUUGUUUACUUUUUCC